ACGGAGGGGGCUAGCGUUGUUCGGAAUUACUGGGCGUAAAGCGCACGUAGGCGGCUUGGUAUGUCGGGUGUGAAAUCCCCGGGCUCAACCUGGGAACUGCAUCCGAAACUGCCUUGCUCGAGUAUGGGAGAGGGAAGUGGAAUUUCCGGUGUAGCGGUGAAAUGCGUAGAUAUCGGAAGGAACAUCAGUGGCGAAGGCGAGUUCCUGGACCAAUACUGACGCUCAGGUGCGAAAGCGUGGGGAGCAAACAGGA
rnacentral:rRNA from 1 species